GCCCGCAUAGCUCAAUGGUAGAGCGCGUCACUAGUAAUGACGAGGUUGCCGGUUCGAUUCCGUCUGUGGGCA
rnacentral:tRNA from 2 species